UACGUAGGGUGCAAGCGUUGUCCGGAAUUAUUGGGCGUAAAGCGUCCGCAGGUGGCACCUCAAGUCUGCUGUCAAAGACCGGGGCUUAACCCCAGAAAGGCAGUGGAAACUGAAGUGCUAGAGUGCAGUAGGGGUAGAGGGAAUUCCCGGUGUAGCGGUGAAAUGCGUAGAGAUCGGGAAGAACAUCGGUGGCGAAAGCGCUCUGCUGGACUGCAACUGACACUCAGGGACGAAAGCUAGGGGAGCGAAUGGG
rnacentral:rRNA from 1 species